ACCUACGGGAGGCAGCAGUGGGGAAUAUUGGACAAUGGGCGAAAGCCUGAUCCAGCCAUGCCGCGUGGGUGAAGAAGGCCUUAGGGUUGUAAACCCCUUUCAGCGGGGAAGAUAAUGACGGUACCCGCAGAAGAAGUCCCGGCUAACUCCGUGCCAGCAGCCGCGGUAAUACGGAGGGGACUAGCGUUGUUCGGAAUUACUGGGCGUAAAGCGCACGUAGGCGGAUUUGUAAGUCAGGGGUGAAAUCCCGAGGCUCAACCUCGGAACUGCCUUUGAUACUGCGAAUCUCGAGUCCGGAAGAGGUGAGUGGAAUUCCUAGUGUAGAGGUGAAAUUCGUAGAUAUUAGGAAGAACACCAGUGGCGAAGGCGGCUCACUGGUCCGGUACUGACGCUGAGGUGCGAAAGCGUGGGGAGCAAACAGGAUUAGAUACCCCGGU
rnacentral:rRNA from 1 species